UUUUAUGGACGCUACCCUGUCAUCCGAGCUGGGCAUCCCCACUCAGCCACUCUCCAUUCCCAUGGACGUUAGAGAGCUGGAUGGGCGCUCUAUAGGCCGGGUCACCCACAAUACCCCUCCCAUCAACCCACGAGUGUCAGGGAACCACUCAAUCCAAUUCAUGCUAAUUAAGUCUUCUCAGGUUCCCGUGGUAUUGGGAUUCUCUUGGCUCCAGCAACACAAUCCCUCAUAGACUGGACUGCUUGUGCCAUCAUGGGCUGGAGCCCGUUCUGCCACGCCCAUUGCCUAAAGUCAACGCAGCCUUCCUGUGGGCUCGGAAGUUGCCCUGGACCUCUCCGCCCAUUCCUGCUGAGUAACAGGACCUCCGAGAGGUGUUCAGUAAGGCCCGGGCCACUUCACUUCCACAUUUCAUAAUGAAAAAAGUAAUAAUUUCAUGAACAAAAUGUAUAUCUACAGGUCCAUGUUUGCCUACUACGUUUGUGCUGCUUUGUCUACCCAUUCAAACGCUAUAUAGGGUUUGUGAGUACUGUUAUCAGAGGUUGUUUUAAUAGCAACAACAACAAAUGAAUGUUGUCUGAAUGUCAGUCUUUAGGUCUUAUGGUAUUUCUGUUCUCUUUUUUUCAGUGUUGUGUUAAUGUGGAAGUGUAAGGGGUGUUCAGGAUUGAUGUUAAGUAUGUCCCAACUUUUGCAUCAUUACAAGUUAAAGCAUUAAAGCACCCACAUUACGGCCGUACUGUCCUAUACCCAUGUACAUACAUUGACUGUCCAUAUGAAUUUAAGACCUGGAAUGCCUUAAUUGUGCACCAAAGUAAAGUCCACUCAAUAGAGGGUACUAAAAAUCUGACUGAGAAGUGUUCCUUCACUGUGUGUGGAGGAUGGAAAACCAGUUAGAAAUACAAACUGGGAAACUAUCUCACUCGCCUGAGAAGACUGGGAUGUCCAGAGGUGAUGAUAAACUCCUUGAAGCACAAACCUGCAGGGAAGUCAAGUGCAGCCUAUGGUGUUAAAAAGCCAAAGAGAGCAGAAGUGAACUUUUUCCCCACAUAUCCCUCAGGAGAAACAGAAGAGAGCCUCGAGGACAUGCGGAACGCUCUACUGUCCGAUGUGAAGAAAAAGGGACAACAAAGAGACAGUGAAGUUCAAAAUGGAGAAGAUGUUUACAUACGGGAGACAUGAAGUUGUCCGUGACGCACCCAUGGUAGAGGACUUCAUGGCAAGAUGGCAUGCGCUCAUUGAGGUCAAUGCUGAGUUGAAGAGAAUCACCACAACCCCAAUCCAGUCCAAAUUUCUUUCUCAACUUGAUAUACACUCAGAUAACCACCUGAAGUUGUUCCAAAGAAGAGGAGGACAGCUGGGCAGAAGAGUCACAUCAAUCAUUGCACCUAUGGCUGAUGUAAGAAUUCCUUAUGCUUCAAAAGACACAUUCAUAUGUGGUUCUACACCAAAAGUUGACUUCAAAUAAAAAAAAAUCCUUCUUCUCUUUUCUUAGAAUAGCAACAUAGAUGUCGGACGAGAGUGCAUCAUAAAGGGAGUGUGUGUGUAUAUGGGUGAAGGCCCAGAAAACCUUAUAUGUGGGCAUGGAUGAAGAGUCCACCAAGGCAGCCAUUGAGGACAUUACUGUGGGGGAUCUACACUAUCAAAGACCAUGUCGCGAGUGAGGAACCAAAGGACACUGGGUUUGUCCUUGAAGGCGUCAAGGUGCUGCAGGAUCUGGGCAACGUAGCGUUUGCUGUUGCAAUGCUGUUCAGCCUCAUGUAUGCCAUGAACCUCAGUUACCCUACUGAGCUCCGCUACACCUUUGAAGUCUUUCGGAAGGUUUUUAUGGAACUGAAUGGGGACAAUCUUUCUAACAAAGCUGUUACAUUUAAAAACAGGCUGUUUCAGACUGUAUGUUGUGUUUCACACGCUGUUUGACUUCUGUUGAACUUGUUAGAUUGUUCACAAAAACUCCCAACAGAAUGAGCAUGUCCAAAUAUGGAGCUAUCGUGAUUUUGUUAGAUAUUUUGUAUGGUGUUUUGAGUAGAUCAGUUUCACUUUAGUGACUUUUAGUCAAAAGAAUGAACAUGCACACAUACCUACCACAUUCUUUGUCUGUUACUCUGUAUGAAAAAUAACUACCUCAUUCUGUAACAAAAUGUAUUAGAGAGAGUGCCCAAUCAUUAUUAGGACAACGCUUUAAAAAAAAAAAAUACAUAUAUAUAUAUAUAUAACCUACAGCACUGGGAUUUAGACCUGUGCAAUUCAUUGAACACAGAAUGUCAGUGAAUGGACAUUUGUCGUUCCAAAAAGCUGAAACGUUACAAAGUAAUACAGUAGAAUUUUUGAAACACAUGCCUUUUGCCUUCAUUGUCACUGAUGCAAAUGGUCUCUUGCUCCUUGGUUCCACAUCUUUAGCAUGUACUUUUUAUUUCCCUAUUCAUUUGUGCAAAUACAAACACUAAGGUAGAAAAUGGCAGCAUUUCAUCUUGUGCUUAUAUGAAUAAUUAUGUAGAACCUUCUACAUAAUUAUGAGUAAUAUCAUCAAUAAAAUAAUGUUAAUUAUUAAGUAGUGAUCAGGUUUAGGGAACAUGAUCAAAUCCAUUUGAAGCUACACAUUUUAAUCGAAAUAAAAUUAGCUUAACCAAAUCAUGUUAAAUUGAUUCUAUUCCAUUACAAUGCAUUAACUUGAACAAUUAUAUUUGCUUGACAAAAAGAAAAUAAGUAAACUGAAAAAGAAAAAAUGGUGUUUAUCUAACAUGUUUCAUUUAUGUGGAACCGAUGUACACAUUUUAAUUAAGUCAAUUCAAAGCAAUAUUUUUUUCAGUGUAGCCUUCAGCUACUAUAGCACAGCGAAAUACAUCUUAAAACAUGCUAUUCUGUUAUUUUGGCUUAGUGUCAUGUUUUUUUUUUGUACGAUCUUC